UACAGCGGAUGCGAGCGUUAAUCGGAAUUACUGGGCGUAAAGCGCACGUAGGUGGCGACGUAAGUCGGGUGUGAAAGCCCCGGGCUCAACCUGGGAAUUGCAUUCGAGACUGCAUUGCUGGAGUACGGAAGAGGAGGGCGGAAUUGCCGGUGUCGCGGUGAAAUGCGUAGAUAUCGGGAGGAACAUCAGUGGCGAAGGCGGCCCUCUGGUCCAGUACUGACACUCAAGUGCGAAAGCGUGGGGAGCAAACAGG
rnacentral:rRNA from 1 species